rnacentral:rRNA from 1 species
UGGGGAAUAUUGCGCAAUGGGCGAAAGCCUGACGCAGCAACGCCGCGUGAGUGAUGAAGGCCUUUGGGUUGUAAAGCUCUUUCGGCCGGGAAGAAGGUAUGUGGUGUUAAUAGUACCGCAUAUUGAUGGUACCGGAAUAAGAAGCACCGGCUAACUUCGUGCCAGCAGCCGCGGUAAUACGAAGGGUGCAAGCGUUGUUCGGAAUUAUUGGGCGUAAAGGGUUCGUAGGUGGGAAUUUAAGUCAGGUGUGAAAUCCUCGGGCUUAACCUGAGACGUGCAUUUGAAACUGAGUUUCUUGAGUACCAGAGAGGGUAGUGGAAUUGCUGGUGUAGGAGUGACAUCCGUAGAGAUCAGCAGGAACACCGGAGGCGAAGGCGACUGCCUGGCUGGUAACUGACACUGAGGAACGAAAGCGUGGGGAGCAAACAGG